AAAAGACUUAGUCCUAACCUUACCGUUAAUUCUUGCUAGACAUAUACAUGCAAGUAUCCGCGCCCCAGUGCAAAUGCCCUUAGCCCCUUAUUAGCUAUUAACUCUAACAGGGGAGAGGAGCAGGUAUCAGGCACACCCAUAGCUGUAGCCCAAGACGCCUUGCUCGGCCACACCCCCACGGGUACUCAGCAGUAGUUAACAUUAAGCAAUAAGCGCAAGCUUGACUUAGUCAUAGCAACCCUAGGGUUGGUAAAUCUUGUGCCAGCCACCGCGGUCACACAAGAGACCCAAAUUAACUGUAUGCGGCGUAAAGAGUGGCACUACAAUGUCACAGUAACUAGGACCGAAAUGCAACUAUGCUGUCAUAAGCUCAAGGUGCACUUAAGCCCGCCUCUAAGGUGGUCCUAGCACUCCUGACUGAUUCAACUCCACGAAAGCUAGGGCACAAACUGGGAUUAGAUACCCCAUUAUGCCUAGCCCUAAAUCCUGAUGCUUACCGUACCAAAGCAUCCGCCUGGGAACUACGAGCACAAACGCUUAAAACUCUAAGGACUUGGCGGUGUCCCAAACCCACCUAGAGGAGCCUGUUCUAUAAUCGAUAACCCACGAUUCACCCGACCACCUCUUGCCAGAGCAGCCUACAUACCGCCGUCGCCAGCUCACCUCCCCUGAGAGCCCAACAGUGAGCACAAUAGCCCAACCCACUAACAAGACAGGUCAAGGUAUAGCCCAUGGGGUGGAAGAAAUGGGCUACAUUUUCUACAAUAGAAAACCUACGAAAGAGGGUAUGAAAUAACCCCCGGAAGGCGGAUUUAGCAGUAAAGGGGGACAAUAGGGCCCCCUUUAAGUUGGCCCUGGGGCACGUACAUACCGCCCGUCACCCUCCUCACAAGCCACCAACUUUUAUAACUAAUAAGCCUUACGGCUGAAGAUGAGGUAAGUCGUAACAAGGUAAGUGUACCGGAAGGUGCACUUAGCACAC
rnacentral:ncRNA from 1 species